rnacentral:tRNA from 1 species
GAAGGUAUAGCUCAGGGGUAGAGUGCAUGCUUAGCAGGCAUGAGGUCCUGGGCUCAAUCCCCAGAACCUCCA